UGCAGAGAGGUCACUUUUGUGUGUUAAUUCCCAACCUUUCACCACCCAACCAGGGCCCCAUCAGGUCAUUCCCACUCUGCUCCUGCUCAGACACCACUCAGCCACGUCUCCUGGUGUCCAGGUGCACAGACUUCACUUCCCUCCUGUGGGGAAUGUCACCCGACUGCCAAGACCCACUCAACACAGUGGAAGUCAAGACUAGGCGUCCAUCAAAUUCUUCAGGUGCGCUGACCAAGAUCUUCACCUGAGAAGGAGCCUGAAUGAAGCACCUCUGGACAGAAAGCAGCUGCAGCUCCAGGAGACACUCCCUGGAAAACCUCCAGACCACCGGCCGGGGACCAGGCAUGGUGCUGGCAAAGCACUUCCACGAGGCUGCCAGCUGCCACAGAGACACGGGCAGAGCACACAGACACAGGACUUGGCCUCAGACUUGUCAGUAUGAGGACACAAACUGGGUGAGAGGCGGACAUGGGAGAAUGGGCGACAAAGCCAGCAGACAGAGCACCACGGGCAUUAAAAAGAAGAAAUGGAAGGCAGGUGGCAGGAGACCCCACAAACCAUGAAGAUCAGCUUGAGACCUUCAAGGUUCUGCAGAGCUGGCAGGGUCUGGUUCUGUCAACGACAGGGGUUUAAACACUGUCGUUUCCUGCUCCUACCAUCUGAACUUGCCAACUGUCCUUUCACCCUUAGCAACUCAAACAAAUGCAGAAGCCCCUGGCUUCCUUGUCAUGCUACAAGGCCUCUCGAUGAGACUGAGAUCCCUGAAAGAGAUUCCAGAGGCAAACAAAGGGAAAAGCCCCCAUGGAUUGUAGGGGGAGCCACAGGUAGGGGGCUACCAUCCAGGGCUUUGACCCCAAAAUGCACCUCAGAGAGCAAAGCAGACCACAGAAAACAAACUGCAGCAUCCCAUAAAAAGCCAUCAAAAGUUUCUUUUCUUUCCUUUUCUUUUCUUUGUUUUGUUUUUUGAGAUAGGGUUUCUCUGUGUAGCUUUCACUGUCCUGGAUUCUCUCUGUAGUCCAGGCUGGCCUUGAACUCUGAGUUCCCUCUGCCUCUGCCUCCCCGAGUGCUGGGCUCACAGGCAUGCACCCCCAGCAGAGGUUGUUUCUUAAGUGAGUCCUGAGGACUCAUGGCUGGUCCCUUGAAUGGAGUAGUAUGAGAACCCUUCUGUCCUUAGCUCUCUGGAUGAAAGGGCAGCAGGGUGGGACGUGGGAAGAAGGCACUUAGGUCCUGUACACAUCUUGGCUCACACUCACUCUCUGCUGACCUCCAAGCCAAGUUAGGACACAAUCCAGGUUCCAUGGGUGUCAGGGAGCAGCAAGGCAUGGCUGAACUGUGGCAUUCAGUCAGGGCCUUUGAGCUGCGGUGGAGGGCGGACAGUCCCUCAGUGGGAAGCGCCUGAGCUGCUCUGUGUGGUCUUUUUCUUUCCUAUUGCUGAAGCUCAUGCCCUCUCCAUAUUUUCCCCCAUUUCUUUCAAAUAGAGGAAGAAAGACCCUCCCACAACAGCUGACUUACCUGCUG